rnacentral:rRNA from 1 species
UACGUAGGGGGCUAGCGUUGUCCGGAUUUAUUGGGCGUAAAGAGCUCGUAGGUGGUUCGAUAAGUCGGGUGUGAAACCUCCAGGCUCAACCUGGAGACGCCACCCGAUACUGUCGUGACUAGAGUCCAGUAGGGGAGCGUGGAAUUCCUGGUGUAGCGGUGAAAUGCGCAGAUAUCAGGAGGAACACCAGCGGCGAAGGCGGCGCUCUGGGCUGGCACUGACACUGAGGAGCGAAAGCGUGGGGAGCGAACAGG